rnacentral:rRNA from 1 species
UGGGGAAUAUUGCACAAUGGGCGCAAGCCUGAUGCAGCCAUGCCGCGUGUGUGAAGAAGGCCUUCGGGUUGUAAAGCACUUUCAGCGGGGAGGAAGGCGAUAAGGUUAAUAACCUUGUCGAUUGACGUUACCCGCAGAAGAAGCACCGGCUAACUCCGUGCCAGCAGCCGCGGUAAUACGGAGGGUGCAAGCGUUAAUCGGAAUUACUGGGCGUAAAGCGCACGCAGGCGGUCUGUCAAGUCGGAUGUGAAAUCCCCGGGCUCAACCUGGGAACUGCAUUCGAUACUGGCAAGCUUGAGUCUCGUAGAGGGGGGUAGAAUUCCAGGUGUAGCGGUGAAAUGCGUAGAGAUCUGGAGGAAUACCGGUGGCGAAGGCGGCCCCCUGGACGAAGACUGACGCUCAGGUGCGAAAGCGUGGGGAGCAAACAGG